CAUAUCAGAUCCUUCCAGAGGAAAUGUCUGCUGAAACCUUAGCGAGCUCCUGCAGUCCAGGGCUGACCAUACGACUAUAAAUAAGAUCGGUCCCUUGGUUAAAGGUAUUAAACUUCUUAACUAAGUUGCUGGUCAGCUUUACCGCUGGCAACACCCUUAGUCUGCAGGAAUACUCUUAAGAGCAACCUGCAGCUGUACUUUCAAGUAUGGCUCACAGACUAAAUAGUGGUGGAUACCGUCAGAUGAUGGCAUUUCAGAUAUAGUCGCGUCCCGGGAAUCUUCAUACCGAGACUGUGUUCCGUAGGUGAACCUGCGGAAGGAUCAUUA
rnacentral:rRNA from 1 species